AGCCAAGCUGGUAGAGCUUCUCUCUUCUUUGUGAAUGUGUUUUUUUCUUGCUCACACUAGAGGCUAAGGCGCAAGAUCAUGACGUCCAGACUCUCUCUCUCUUUGUGUUGUGUAGCAUCUACUGCUGUCUGGUUCAUUUUAAUGUAUUGAAACAAAUCCUUUUGAUUAUCUAGAUCGGGUGGUAUUUCGCCAAGUGGAUGCAAAAACUAAGGGUUUGAAAAUGGAAACUAAAAAAUCUAACAUAUACAUUUCCUCUUUUUUUUGCUUCCAUAUUUUUCUGCAGAAAUUAGCACUUUCAUAUGCUGAAGCAAACACUAAAAAAUAAAAAAGGUGCAGUUUAAUUUCAGAUGGACUUUAGGUUCCUCUUCAAUUGACCCACUUAGAUCCAGUAUGCAAAGCAGGCCUAUAAAAAUGCAAAGGAUGCAGCGUGCGACCAUUUUCAGUGUGCGGUUGAGCAUCACAAUUCAGGGGAAUUCAACGCUGCCCUCACCGAGACAGGCGGGCAUCUCUGUUUGCAAAAAAAAAAGCCUAGUUUGCAAUCAGUUCUUUUUAUUUAUUCCUCAUAAUCACUCGUACAGAGACCACUACUGUACUGCAGGUAUUGUUUUUUCUGUCAGUGUUUUUUAACCAGCAUUCUGACAUACUUUCAGUGAGGUGCCAGCUGUCUCCUCUCAAUAAAAAAUAAAAAUAAAAAAAAUAAAAAAGCAUGAAGAUUGAAAACCGGGGCCUGCUCAGGGCACCUCUUCUUCUUUUUUUUUUUUUUUUUGUUGGAUCUUUUCAUAGAAUCCCAGAAUGAGAACAGAAGGCACCAUUUGGGAGAUGAGGAGUCCUGGAACUGAGUGUAACUGUGGAUGUGUCAUACAUGUAGCAGGGGAUGUGAAUCAUAGCCAAGAAGUGCGUGUGUGUGUGUGUGUGUGUGUGUGUGUGUGUGUGUGUGUUCGCUCUGCGUCUGUGGCCUUUUGGAUGGCACCAUGACAAGCUCUGACAUGGAUUUUGUAUUUGUUUGUUUUUCACGCCAACAUGGGAAAA